UGGCCUCCUCGGUGCUUAGCCUGUCAGCAGGGCAGCAGCUCCCACCUGAUCCUUAAAUCCAACCUACUCCUCCAGUGUCAAAGAUGAGUCUGUACUCUGGCUUUCCUCCCCUGAUAACCCACUGGUCCUGCUGUUCCUCUGCUGGCACUGCCUUCACGCAGCAAAUUCACCCCUCUGAAGCUUCAGGCCGUCAGCCUCCUUCCUGCUGCCAGCUUGGGACCCGAUCCAUCUUUGGUGCUACCAGUAAAACAGCAACAGUGGCAACUACAGGAGAUACUACAGGAUUUAAAAUUAAAAAAAAAAUAAUAAGAGAAUAGUGAGGUAAUGGUGACCUAAUUUCCUAAACUGUCUUUCUGCUAACCACAACUUUAAGGUUUCAGAGAGUUUGGCUCGCUAUCAGCUUGCUCUAAAAAUGCCUUCUCUGCAAACCAGAAAUAACCAUAUUACAUCGCUUUCAGAUAAUACCAUCCAAAAAAAAUGAAGAAAUGCCACAAACUUGCAUCCCCCUAAGUAAAAAGCCAAAACCUUUUUAAUUCAUGUCAAACUUUUAUAUAGAAAGGCUCCUAUUUCUUUUAAAGUAGCUGAGCUCCUCUUAGUCUGUCGCAAUAAUGCACAAAUGACCCUGUAUCAAGAUUUCUACAAUGCAGACUUAAUCUUUAGUGAAUUAUGUUAGAAAAGCCUUCAUUUUAGUACCACUUUGUAUCAGGUCAAGAAGUAAGCAGCAGCAUUACUAGCCAGAAGGCUGAAAAUCAACUGCGGGGAGAAAGCUUUGGAAGCUGCAUGCCAGAAGAAUGAUACACCAGGAAAACGUGGAGAGCAACUUGCCCAAGACCGUGCCGGCUGGACGGAGGCAGAAGAGGUCACGCUUAGCAAAGCCUCUGGAAUUCCCCGAGGACGGCACUGCAAUGACGUGAAGGAAUUUCGGGGGCUGUUGUAUACUCAGUGUUAUAAAGCAUUUCACAAGGUUCUGCACCAGACAGCAGCAGCUAAGGAGAAGAGCUUUGGAAGAAGAUCUAAAGUGGGAGCCUAUACAGUAAAUAGAGUUAAGAGCAGGAGCCAAACGGUACCAGAAGUGAAAAUACUUCAGGGUGGUAUGAAAUCAACAGUACGGCACUCCAGAGGCACAACCCCCUGCCCUUUCUCAAGGCUGACCUUACCAGGCUGACAGGACUUGACCGAACGCAUCUCCAUUUCCAGACAGAGCAGAGAGAUUCCCAAACAAGUCUGAGAAGGAGCUCACGAAGCGGAAGACGUCUAGUCACUGCGGCGCAGACCUCUGCGUGGGCCAGGGCACCUCGGUUCCCAGGCUUGUACGGCAGCGUCAGCAUUUCCCAUCCCCGCUGCAAAACUUCACCUGCGGUAUCGCAGCACGGCAUGUGCCUUCUUCCUAACAGCAUCGUAUCAGCGCCUGGCAGACGUAUCAAGUCACCAAACCUUUCUGCUCCUUUCAUUUCCAGCUCCCAGGCAGGCAGGUUACAACAGAUUCCUGUAGUCCCAGUGUCUGCAGCCCCGCACGGUCACGUUGCGGCUUAUUUUCACUGCCCAAGCGCCUCAACUCUUCCCGUGCAAUUUUCUGACUCUCCUUCAUGCCAAUAUCACCUUCUCAUUUGACUUGGAAGUCAGAUCAGUAACUCACUGUUUGUAAUGGCAAAUCAUUAAUGACUAUUUGAAAUAAAUCAGUUCUGAGACUGAA